UGACCGCGAACACUCCCUCCCUCCACUGAGCCAGAACGUGCAACAACAGCAGCAGGCCACCGCUACCUUCCUCGCGAUCUGCAAGGUCGAAACCCCCCUAAACCCUGUUGACAUGGGCGAAACUCCUUCAUACUUACAUCAUUUUGAUAUCAAUCAUUGUCCUUAUCAUGAUUUAGCACGAUCUAUCUUUGUCUAUAUCAUUGCCUGUGCCGUGCCUUCGUGCCGGUCUAUUUAUCCAUCUCUCUAUUUAUCUCUUGUGCUAUGGAAAUGUGCUACUCCGAGUUGUCAUCGUGUCUUUAUGUUGUCAGUGGUCGAGUCGUGAUUCUUGUGUGUUUGUCGUUGUCUGUGGACCGUGCCGUCGAGCCGGUUGAGAGAGUGAUAUGUUUGAAUGUUGCGAUCGCGAGUUUGUCUCGCCAUGGCCGUAAUGCCAAGCAUGUCCCUCCUCUCGUGUUGUCGUUCUUGUUUUGUGUUUCGUUGCCCCUGAGGACCGAGCCUUCGAGCCGGUUAGGGAAAUGGUAGUGCGUUCGACCAUUUCGAUCGUGGGUUCGACCCGCCGUGAUCGCAAUGUCGAGCGUCACUCGUUUUCCCGUGUUUAGUUGACUUCGUCACGCUACGCUUGUUAGCUCCUACUCCCGUCCCUCGGACAUGGUCAUCGUGUGUCGUCAUCGACGCGGUUCUUACCCGCACACUCGAUACCUAGGUGGCCUAGUCGAGUGGGAUACGAAUUAGGGGGCAACCUUCGUGGAAUUGUCGGAGACCAACUUGUUAGGUGGAGCUCAUGGCCGCGAGUCGCCUCGCCAUGGUCAUCAGGCUUUACCUUGCUUCUCGCAUGUUUAUCUUAUCUGUCUCGUAUGCUUAUGCCACCUAGACCCGGGCAUUUCUCCUAGUUCCCGCGAUGACAACCGCAUCGUCUGGAACUAUAGGAAUGACCUUGUGCCGAUUCAGAGGCACCUAGGUCGUGAAGUGUUAUGAGUUAGAGUAGAUUGUGGGGUCGUAUCUCUUUUUAACCAACCGUUUUUCGUUCUAUGGCGUGUUGGUUGGAAGAGUGUGAUUUCGUUCUUCUCUCUUGGUCUCAAUCUCCGUCGAUCCAGUAAGAUACGGAUUGAGCCCUUUUGCUUGUUUAAUGUUUUGUCUCCAAUCCUGCGAUUCCCGUCGUUGCUAUGGCGAGCGGAUCAAUGGAAAGUGAAACACGUGUCUUUUCUUGCCUUUUUGGGGUUCUUCGUGCUUAAACUUUUGUAUGCUUGUACCUAUUCGACCAUAGCAUAUCUUUGGUUCUCGCGGUGACAACCGCACUGCUAAGAACCCUAGGAAUGUCUUAGUGCAUUCAGUGUACCUAGGUCGUGGUACCCUAUAAGUAGCUUGAGCACUCUUUUUCUUUGUGUGUCACUCUUUCUAAUUCCUCGUCUCUUACCGUGGCGAGUGGACUGGAAGGAGUAGACCACUCCCCUUUUCUUCUCUCUUUGUUCCACCCUCUCUUGACUCUCGUCAAUCAUAAUGGCGUACGGGUUGAGAGAGAUCAGAGUUUCUUGUGCUUACAACCGUUUAGUUCUCGUCAAUCUCUAUGACGCUUGGAUCGAAAGUUCGUAAGCCAUGGUGUUUACUUAAAAUGAGUUAGAGUCUACGCCUUUGUUACUAAAGCCGUACAGGUCGACACGAUCGACUCGGGAAGUAACGGCUAGGCGAAGACUCCAGCUUGUACUUAGUAAACACCAUUCCCAUUUCUUUUAGCCCAGGGAUCGGACAUCCGCCGAGAGGGCUAAGCCGUUUUCCUUUCGGUGCUCUUUCAGUGUAGUUGCCCAUCAGUGUUUUGUCGCCUCUUUCGCAGUCUCUCUAGGACUAGUGGGUUGAUUGUUUCGCCUUGUUUGUCGCUUUCGAGGUAGAUGCUUCGGUUAGCGUUGAUCGAAUCGGAACCAGUCGAAGGAAGGACAUGCAGAUAGGAGAAAGACCUUGGAUGAGUACAACUACAAGUGAACUGAGGAUCUUGGGAAUGUCACUCGACAGGUGCCACGUCCCACCCAACCUCGUAGAAUCCUAUUAGACAUGCAAUAUUGUAGAUGCUAGUGCUUUACUUUUAUGCAAAUGAAUUGAGAUAGGUUGCAUGGUAGAAAUGCUUGUGAGCCAUUGCCUUGUUGCAACCUAUAACCCUCGCACACCCGCUGUUAGGUUAGACGCUUGCAUACUACUUGCUACUGCUUCUACUACGCAUUAUAUCUGUGAUGUGAUGCAUUGUGGAGGAUUGGAUGUGAGUGGAUAAGGCACGUGGUGCCGAUAACUGGAUAAGGAAUGGAUAAUGGAUUUGGGGAGAUCUUGGCGUGUGUCUUGGGUGUGUGGUGAGGGUCGAGUCGACCGAGCAGGAUUUACGACGAGUCUUGGGACAAGUCUUGCCGGGGAAUGCUACCUGGGCGUUCUCCACGAGAGGUACCUGUGGCGGGUACAUGUGAUAGGGAGAGGUCCCGGAGUGGAGUGUCUUCGUGGGACGAAGCACCGAGAUAGGAGGUGCUGUUUAGCACGGGGUAGUCGGGUGUCCCGUCGAGAGGGGCAUCGGCUGGCCCCUCGUGAAGAUGUCCUGUUCGGUUACCCUAAGGACUGAGAUGUUCUGAGAACCGGUUCGUAGGAAGCCUUACACGCCACUCGCCUUAUUAUGGUGCGGGACGGAUGUACGACCAGCUAGUGCGGUGCCACUACUACUAGGUUGAUAGCGGAUAGUGUAGGGAGGUACGGGCAUGAGGACCCACACCCUCCUAAGACAGCGUAGUGACCUUUGGGGGCCCGGUACUACGCCUCACAGUCUCAGCAUGCCGGUGGUACUCCGGUGUGGCCCCAGUCCUGAGUGGUAGGGUGGCAUCGUAUUUAGUUGGAAGGCAGCCCGGUAUCAGCCUAGACGAGCCGGUUCGUCGAUGAUGGUGAUCUUGUGGUUAGUGUAAACCUCUGCAGAGUUUGGUUGAUCGAUCGAUACAUAUGCCGUCUUCUCGGCUAUGGACCUUUUCUAUGUUCCGCUUCGCUUGACUAGUGAGAGGAGUCCUUUCUACCUUCCCCUGGGUUUGUGUUGGAUCCGGCGUUGGCCGUUGAGGCAAGGCACGAGCGGGAGUCGUACUUGCCGCCUAGAGAAUGAGAGUGUGGUGAGAUGUGUGUGAUGGGAUGGAUGGAUGGAUGGAUGUGUGGAUGAGAUGGAAUAAAACUUGAUGAAUUAUUAUUAUAAAAUAUUGAUGAACUUGCAUAGGAAAAACUACAGCUAUACAUAGGCCUCUUGAUAUACCCUUUGCAUUUCCACCUACCACAAAGCUUACGCAAAAGCAUAGGGUGGGAGCCAGUGGCCAGUACAAAUCGUACUGAAAAUUGUUUAGCAGGUUUUGAACGUGGUCUAUGACGAUAACUACGGAGAAUAGAAGGAUUAGGUGGUCUCGCUCCUGCGCUCAAGUUUGGUUCAGAGAUGAAGGCUACGCCCGCUGAUAAACUACGCCGACUCUGAUGAUUGUCCGUGAAGGAGGAGCCUUCACCGCUGACGCGCUACAUCGACUCUGAUAAAGACUCGCGUGUGUUCUCGCUAGAAAAACGAUGUAAUAGGCUUGUUGACCAAGAGUUGUAAAGUAAAUGUGUUGUAAUCUUGUUUCUCACGAUGUAUGACUACGAUAACAGCUGAUAUAUGAUAAUGCGAUAGUUCAAUUUUUGAAUUAUCACAUUAUAAUUCGAAUCUGUGGAUUUUUCCCUUUGUGGAAGAAUCUAGGUCGUUUCAGGAGCCGAAGAGGAGCCCUACCAAACAGGCCCUUAAUAUUGCUGGUGGACACU
rnacentral:lncRNA from 1 species